rnacentral:rRNA from 1 species
AUUGAACGCUGGCGGCAGGCCUAACACAUGCAAGUCGAACGAGUGGCGGACGGGUGAGUAAUGUCUGGGAAACUGCCUGAUGGAGGGGGAUAACUACUGGAAACGGUAGCUAAUACCGCAUCCCAUCAGAUGUGCCCAGAUGGGACUCGCUUGUUGGUGGGGUAACGGCUCACCAAGGCGGAGAUCCCUCGCUGGUCUGAGAGUAUGACAAGCCACAUUGGAACUGAGACACUGGCCAGACUCCUACGGGAGGCAGCAGUGGGGAAUAGUGCACAAUGGGCGCAAGCCUGAUGCAGCCAUGCCGCGUGGAUGAAGGAGGCCUUCGGGUUGUAAGGGACUUUCAGCGGGGAGGCGUUACCCGCAGAAGAAGCACCGGCUAACUCCGUGCCAGCAGCCGCGGUAAUAC